UACGUAGGGUCCGAGCGUUGUCCGGAAUUACUGGGCGUAAAGAGCUCGUAGGUGGUUUGUCGCGUUGUUCGUGAAAACUCACAGCUCAACUGUGGGCGUGCGGGCGAUACGGGCAGACUAGAGUACUGCAGGGGAGACUGGAAUUCCUGGUGUAGCGGUGGAAUGCGCAGAUAUCAGGAGGAACACCGGUGGCGAAGGCGGGUCUCUAGGCAGUAACUGACGCUGAGGAGCGAAAGCGUGGGGAGCGAACAGG
rnacentral:rRNA from 1 species